rnacentral:rRNA from 1 species
UGGGGAAUAUUGGACAAUGGGGGGAACCCUGAUCCAGCCAUGACGCGUGUGUGAAGAAGGCCUUAUGGUUGUAAAGCACUUUAAGCGAGGAGGAGGGUACUGGUAUUAAUACUACCAGCUACUGGACGUUACUCGCAGAAUAAGCACCGGCUAACUCUGUGCCAGCAGCCGCGGUAAUACAGAGGGUGCGAGCGUUAAUCGGAUUUACUGGGCGUAAAGCGUGCGUAGGCGGCUAAUUGAGUCGGAUGUGAAAUCCCCGAGCUUAACUUGGGAAUUGCAUUCGAUACUGGUUAGCUAGAGUGUGGGAGAGGAUGGUAGAAUUCCAGGUGUAGCGGUGAAAUGCGUAGAGAUCUGGAGGAAUACCGAUGGCGAAGGCAGCCAUCUGGCCUAACACUGACGCUGAGGUACGAAAGCAUGGGGAGCAAACAGG